UGCUUUUAGCUAACCCGAACCAGCCCA
rnacentral:piRNA from 1 species